rnacentral:ncRNA from 1 species
AGUGUUGAACGCGCUGGUGGUUCGCCGGGCGCUGUGGUGCCCGGUGAGGCAAGAGGGAACCCGGUGGGAAUCCGGGACUGCCCCGCAGCGGUGAGCGGGAACGACCGCCGUCAUACGCACUGGACCCGGUGAAAGGGGUCCGGGAAGCGACGGCCAGUAGGUGUCCUCGGGCGAUGAGGACGGGCCCGCGAGUCCGAAGACCUGCCACCGGCGCGUACGCCGA